rnacentral:rRNA from 1 species
GUGAGUAGUUCAGAGUUUGAUCCUGGCUCAGGAUGAACGCUGGCGGCGUGCAUAACACAUUCAAGUCGAACGGUGAUUACCCUUCGGGGUAUGAUCAGUGGCGGACGGGUGAGUAACGCGUGAGCAACCUGCCCUUGUGCGGGGGAUACCGUCUGGAAACGGACGUUAAUACCGCAUAACGUAUAUCUGCCGCAUGGUGGAUAUACCAAAGAUUUAUUGCGCAAGGAUGGGCUCGCGUCUGAUUAGAUAGUUGGUGGGGUAACGGCUCACCAAGUCUACGAUCAGUAGCCGGACUGAGAGGUUGAACGGCCACAUUGGAACUGAGAAACGGUCCAG